rnacentral:rRNA from 1 species
UCGGCCCGUAAACCCCUGUCAUUUGCGAACAAGUGUCAUGCGUGAACAACGCAUGGCUUGAUUGUAGCGAAAGAGGAAGGGGACGGCUAACUCUGUGCCAGCAGCCGCGGUAAUACAGAGGUCCCAAGCGUUGUUCGGAUUCACUGGGCGUAAAGGGUGCGCAGGUGGGCUGGUAAGUUCGAUGUGAAAGCCCCGGGCUUAACCCGGGAAUGGCAUUGGAUACUACUGGUCUGGAGGAUCGGAGGGGGGACUGGAAUUCUUGGUGUAGCAGUGAAAUGCGUAGAUAUCAAGAGGAACACCAGUGGCGAAGGCGAGUCCCUGGACGAUACCUGACACUGAGGCACGAAAGCCAAGGGAGCAAACAGGAUUAGAUACCCUGGUAGUCUUGGCUGUAAACGGUGCGCAUUUGCUGUAAACGGAAUCGACCCCGUUUGUGGCGAAGCUAACGCGAUAAAUGCGCCGCCUGGGAAGUACGGUCGCAAGAUUAAAACUCAAAGAAAUUGACGGGGGCCUGCACAAGCGGUGGAGUAUGUGGCUUAAUUCGAUGCAACGCGAAGAACCUUACCUGGCCUUGACAUGCAUGUGGUAGAACCAUGAAAGUGGGACGACCCCGCAAGGGGAGCAUGCACAGGUGCUGCAUGGCUGUC